rnacentral:sRNA from 1 species
AAAAAAAAAGUAAAAAAAAAAAAACAUAUAUAUAUAUAUAUC